UGCCAGCCGCCGCGGUAAUACGGAGGGGGUUAGCGUUGUUCGGAAUUACUGGGCGUAAAGCGCGCGUAGGCGGUUUAGCAAGUUGAAGGUGAAAUCCCGGGGCCCAACCCCGGAACUGCCUCCAAAACUAUCAGUCUAGAGUUCGAGAGAGGUGAGUGGAAUUCCGAGUGUAGAGGUGAAAUUCGUAGAUAUUCGGAGGAACACCAGUGGCGAAGGCGGCUCACUGGCUCGAUACUGACGCUGAGGUUCGAAAGGGUGGGGAGCCAACAGGGAUAAAUU
rnacentral:rRNA from 1 species